GGUGUCAGCCAUUUUGACCUAACAGGGAAUCCGGUCAUGGAAUCUUCCAAUUCCGUCAAGCCGGAGCGGUCCCGCCGCUGUAGAGGGGAGCAAUCAUCAAAAGGCCACUGAAGCAGAUGCUUUGGGAAGGCGAUGAAAUGCGAUGAACCUAAGCCAGAAGACCUGCCUGUC
rnacentral:ncRNA from 1 species